rnacentral:piRNA from 1 species
UGCCGCAUAAUCAGUGAUUCGUAUGCUUCC